rnacentral:rRNA from 1 species
UACGUAGGGUGCGAGCGUUAAUCGGAAUUACUGGGCGUAAAGCGUGCGCAGGCGGCUUGCCAAGUCAGAUGUGAAAGCCCCGGGCUUAACCUGGGAACUGCGUUUGAAACUGGGAGACUUGAGUGUGGCAGAGGGGGGUGGAAUUCCACGUGUAGCAGUGAAAUGCGUAGAUAUGUGGAGGAACACCGAUGGCGAAGGCAGCCCCCUGGGUUAACACUGACGCUCAUGCACGAAAGCGUGGGGAGCAAACAGG